UUGAUGUAGAAACAUCCGAAAGUAACUAAAACAAGAUAAUGAUUCACCACCUACUGAAUGUCUGCCUGCCAAUGGUUUGAUAUGUUUGUGACAAUAUGCAGACAUUUUAAAAGGUCCGCAGUUGUGAAUCUUGAAGAAGCAUCCCCGUGAAAGGCUUAUUCAAACUGAUAAAGAUCCCUUCUGUCAUAGGAAAAGGAGAUUUCCUAGCACACAAAAAUGUACCUUGGCUGACCUCGUGAUGGCCCCAAUCUCAGAAUAAAGGUCCGUGCUGUCUGGGAAUUUUUCCACCACUAUCGUACAGACGUGAUGAAGGAGAGACUGCUUAUGCACCGUGUCCUUGACUUCUGGAACUUUCUCGAGGUAGCUCAGUUCAAAGGCUUUGGCCUAUGUGAAGGAAAGAAAAGAAAUAAAAACAGCAUGCUACAUUCACUUCUA